rnacentral:rRNA from 1 species
GUGGGGAAUAUUGGACAAUGGGCGAAAGCCUGAUCCAGCCAUGCCGCGUGUGUGAAGAAGGUCUUCGGAUUGUAAAGCACUUUAAGUUGGGAGGAAGGGUUGUAGAUUAAUACUCUGCAAUUUUGACGUUACCGACAGAAUAAGCACCGACUAACUCUGUGCCAGCAGCCGCGGUAAUACAGAGGGUGCAAGCGUUAAUCGGAAUUACUGGGCGUAAAGCGCGCGUAGGUGGUUUGUUAAGUUGGAUGUGAAAUCCCCGGGCUCAACCUGGGAACUGCAUUCAAAACUGACUGACUAGAGUAUGGUAGAGGGUGGUGGAAUUUCCUGUGUAGCGGUGAAAUGCGUAGAUAUAGGAAGGAACACCAGUGGCGAAGGCGACCACCUGGACUGAUACUGACACUGAGGUGCGAAAGCGUGGGGAGCAAACAGGAUUAGAAACCCUAGUAGUCC